GCGCCCAUAGUUCAAUUGGAUAGAACAUCUGACUUCGGAUCAGACGGUUAUAGGUUCAAGUCCUAUUGGGCGCGCCA
rnacentral:tRNA from 25 species